GCGCACCAGGCGAGAAAACUUUACAAUGCGGGAAACCGUGAUAAGGGAACCUCGAGUGCUGGCGCAUAGCGUCGGCUGUCCAGAUGCCUAAAAAGCAUCUGAUAGCAAGGGCCGGGCAAGACCGGUGCCAGCCGCCGCGGUAACACCGGCGGCUCGAGUGGUGGGCCACGUUUAUUGGGUCUAAAGCGUCCGUAGCCGGCUCGGCAAGUCCCCUGGGAAAUCUGGCGGCUCAACCGUCAGGCGUCCAGAGGAUACUGCGUGGGGCGUUGGGGACCGGGAGAGGUGAGGAGGUACCUCGA
rnacentral:rRNA from 1 species